AUAGUGAAGUAUACAAGGACAUAUAUAAAAGUGUUUCCAUUAUUAGAAUUGCAAACUUCAGAAGUUAUAUUGAAAAUCACACGGUCAAACUCAGCAUUUUGAAAAAAUUUUCUUUUAAGCUUCAUGGAACAAAAUUCCACUUUAAUUAUCCACUUAUUAGUGCAAGUUUCAAAGAAAUUCAAGUUAAACAGACAGACGUCAUAAUUAA
rnacentral:misc_RNA from 1 species